UUAGGUGCUCCUCAUGUCUCUUAAAUUGCCUCCUCGAGUCCUCCACUUGUCUCCCUUCCUUGUGUCUUAGUCCCUCCCACUGAGGAGGCACGGGAGAGACGCGAGGAAAUCAUGGGAGGAGAGAGGCAACGAGGAAAUGUGUUUUAGAGGG